GGCCCUAAAACCAAGCAAGGCGAGAGGGGUGAUCCAGGGUUUAAAGGAGACGUGGGACCUCCAGGGCCUCCAGGUAAACAAGGAUUAAAGGGGCGACGAGGCCCUUCAGGACUUGAGGGACUUGGAGGACCAACAGGGCCAUCAGGACCUCCUGGACCCAGUGGUUUAGAUGGCAUCAUGGGGGAGCAAGGGAAG